rnacentral:rRNA from 2 species
GACUCUCGACAACGGAUAUCUUGGCUCUCGCAUCGAUGAAGAAUGUAGUGAAAUGCGAUACUUGGUGUAAAUUACAGAAUCCCGUGAACCAUCGAGUCUUUGAAUGUAAGUUGCGCCCGAAACCAUCCAGCCGAGGGCACAUCUUCCUGGGUGUC